UAAUAGCUUCGAAGCAGCCAUUGUUAACUGAGCUUUCAGGGUCUGGGAAGUACUAGUGUUAAAAGAGGUAUGUUUACUUUGCUUCCAUUAUGCAUACAUAUAUAGUCCCACACCUAAAUCAUGUGAAGUGGUGAAAGGUAUGGAAAACCGCGUCUUGAGAAUAAAUGGUGUUAACUUAUCGAUUGAGAGAGAGGUGGCAAUAUUGAAAGAGCAAGUUGAUGGGAGAGAGCAAGUGGGUAUAGUAGUUUUUGUCAGAUGAGUGUGUUUCUGUAUUUGGAGUUUGCUGUAGACUUUACCAUUAUUCCUUUCUUUAACAGGUGGGGGUAGUAGUCUAAUAGAUUAACAAUAUACCGACAGUCCACAAUUGGAAAUUGAUGAUCUUGGUUUAAUGUGCACUGCUCUAAAUUUCAGAUUUGCCAAGCAGAUUGGAGCUGAGACAAAGGCAAAGUCAAAUGAAUGGAGUCCAGCACAGCAGGAGCAGAGUAAAGUAGCUAGAGAGUGCAGAGAUUGGAGUUUUUCUCCUCUUUCGUCUGCGUUGAUGUCCUUAUGCUUUGUGGGGACUGGUUUUCUGCCUAUGUCGUGACAGUGACGGCACCAAACUAAAGCAUCAUCACUACUAAGGUACAACCUUCCCUCUUUUCCCUUUCGUCUUUUGUUUUUGUCCCGACUGAGAUCUCAUAUAUUCAUUCAAUCACCUAGGCCGGUUUGACGAGUUUCAACGUUGAAUUAGCAAACCAAAACUUAUCUAGCUAGCUAUCAUCGUAGCUCUAGAUAAGAUGAUCAACAGCGGCCCUAGAUUUCAACUAGUUCGAUAAAAUGAUAGGAUGAUGAUCUGGUGGUUGGAAUAACUAGUUCCAUAAUGUGCUGGAAACUUAGGGAAGCGCCGCUAACAUCCACCAGGCAUUCCUACUUACCUAAUCCAAUUCCAGGAGUCUAGUUUUGACUAACCCAUGCAUAAUACUCCAUUGCCUGGCUUAGUACGUAGAUUGUAUUAAAUUAAGAGGGGGAAUGCAUUGCAUUGGUACCAACGUGCUUAUUGGUAAAAGUCAACUAACAUCAAGACGGAAAUUAGUAUAUCAUCUAUACUAAUCGUUCGAUUUAAGAAUAUGGACUUCCCUCUUACUUCUCUGCUUCUCAAUUUCUAUCGUCGUUGGAAUCUAAUUGACGAACCAAUAAAUCAACGGUUGAACCAGGCCACCGAUACUUUGAUUGGAAUACUAUUAGGAUGGGUUUGGAUAGGUGUAUUUGGAUGAGAUUUAAUCAAAAUUUAAUGUUUGAAAAAUCAUAAUUAAUAAUUGAUUAUCUUGAUUUUCAUUUCAAUGGUGGUGGAAGUCUCCAUCUGUAAAAAAAUGUUAUGGAAACCAAGGCCCAGUUACCACAUGGCCUAUAAUUUUUAGUCUUGACUUUUCCAUACAUAAUAAAUUUCCCAAUUUAAAUUAAUCAAAGAAUAUUAUAUUCAACAAGUACAUAAGAAAAAAAAUAGAAAAUAAUAAGUCUUAACUCACUCAAUCAAAAGUCAAAUCGACGACUUGGCACCGGCACCGGCACCGGCACCGGCACCGGCACCCUAUUGGGCUUAACCAAUGCUCCUGUCGGUGACCCAAUACCAACCGGCCCAGCCCAAACUAAACAAUUUCUUAAUUACAAAUUGACUCAUUUUCACUACCAUCUAUCAAUUGGUUAGACCAGCUGUGAACUUAACUCCGGUAGCCGGAAGCCAAGACCUCCCGUCGAUGAAGUUCCCCACUGUGAACAACUUCGCCGUCCCUACAUCUUUAAUAACGUGAUACCCGGGCCACUUAACCCGACCGGACACCGCCCCACCCGGCCCGUAGUUCCUAUACUCACCAUACCACAAUGUCCCCAACCCAAAGCUACCGUACCACUCAAGCCACCCUCUAGACUGGACAAGGCCACUCAUGUAUGUGUUCAUGUACACCGUCCUUGAGUACUCCUUCCACGGACGACCUAGAUAGCACGGCUGGGUCGCGUAGACGAAGCUGUCCUGGAUCGAAAAUCCUGUGCUCUGGUGAGGGUUCUUCCUCCCCUGAGCAGUGAUGGUCACCUUCUGUUGCGGUAAGGGCACUCGCGUGUAGAUCUUGCAGUUUUGGAACACGGCAGCACCGUUCCCGAAGAUGUAGUCUAUCGUCCCGUAGAUUUCACACUCGCGGUAGAAUUGUCGGAGCGAGUGGGCGUAGAGGGUGUCUUGGUAGCCUUCCAUACUGCACCGGUAGAAUGCUGAUUGGUCCGAGUCGACUCGUAAGGCCACUGCUUGAUGGUUCUCGGGGCCUGCCGUGUUGCGGAAUGUCAUGUCCCUUGCUAUGAAUCCUUUCCCCGAAACCGCUACAGGAAGAAAGUCGGUUAAAAACUUGUUCGGUCAAAACAAUCUCAAAACCUUAACAGACUGACCGACCUAAUUAUUUCAAAUUAACUAAUUAACUGAUCAAAGGUGCUCGGUUAAUCAAGUUUAACCAUUAAGCAUAACUGAAUGUCCAUCCCUGUUAAUAACUUGUUAACUUACCAACUGUGGCGGUUCUGAAAGUGGUCCAUCCCUGCAUGAAGUUGCGGUUUCCUGUAAUGAUAGUUUUCCCGAUACCUUCUCCGACGAACAUUACAUUUGUCUUCUUCUUCUUCAUGUCUAUGUUCUCAUGGUAGAUUCCUUUCUUGAUGAAGAUAACGUACCGACUGUUACUAUGGGGCGGAACUCGGUCGACAGCGUCGGCAAUGCUUCUGAAAUGG
rnacentral:lncRNA from 1 species